rnacentral:rRNA from 1 species
UACGGAGGGUGCAAGCGUUAUCCGGAUUCACUGGGUUUAAAGGGUGCGUAGGCGGGUUGAUAAGUCAGUGGUGAAAUCCCCGAGCUUAACUUGGGAACUGCCAUUGAUACUAUUAGUCUUGAAUACCGGUGGAGGUCGACGGAAUAUGUCAUGUAGCGGUGAAAUGCUUAGAUAUGACAUAGAACACCAAUUGCGAAGGCAGUUGACUACGCGAGUAUUGACGCUGAGGCACGAAAGCGUGGGGAUCAAACAGG